CCACCACCUUUCCACAGCUUGUUCAUUUUUAACUGAGGCUUCUUUAUACACACCAGGUGUGGUCUUCACUUUUAUCAUCUCGUUAUUGUGAAGUCUGUGAUCUGCUCCAGGGAUUAAUUAGAGCUGUUCCAGUAGCUGCAAGUAGGCAUCUAGGAGAACAAGUUUUGCACACUUUUCUGAGAUACUCACGUGAUCUCCAGGCCACUUUGCCAUAUCUGAAGAUAUACCUGGCUUGAAAUCAGAGACUUUUCCAAAUGACAUAGGAAAACAACAUUCAAACCAAGGCAUGGAAGUGGAAUGCAAGCUACAAGCCAGAGCACUAUAAAAUA
rnacentral:lncRNA from 1 species